rnacentral:rRNA from 1 species
AGCAGUAGCCACGGUAAUACGAAGGGGGCUAGCGUUGUUCGGACUUACUGGGCGUAAAGGGCGCGUAGGUGGUUAUUUAAGUGAGAUGUGAAAGCCCCGGGCUUAACCUGGGAACUGCAUCUUAUACUGGGUAACUGGAGUGCAGUAGAGGGUAGUGGAAUUUCCGGUGUAGCGGUGAAAUGCGUAGAUAUCGGAAGGAACACCAGUGGCGAAGGCGACUAUCUGGGCCAACACUGACACUGAGGCACGAAAGCGUGGGGAGCAAACAGGAUUAGAUACCCCCGUAGUCCCUGUCUCUUAUAC